rnacentral:ncRNA from 2 species
UAAGCAAGAUAAGCGCCAGAGCUUGCGUGAUGAAUGAUCUGUGGUAGAGCUAAGAUAGAUUAGCUUGAAGCGGGUGUUCAUACGGGAAGCUGACGAGGUGAAGGUGUUCGAAACAUUCGGCGGGGACCUUCCGGUAUUACAAGCCAACCGAAAGCCGUUACGUAAAACGGCCGGGCGACCGGUCAUACAAUCGUGCGGCAGGCUUCGAU